CAAUAGCGUAUAUUAAAGUUGUUGCGGUUAAAAAGCUCGUAGUUGGAUUUCUGCCGAGGACGACCGGUCCGCCCUCUGGGUGUGUAUCUGGUUUGGCCUGGGCAUCUUCUUGGAGAACGUAGCUGCACUUGACUGUGUGGUGCGGUGUCCAGGACUUUUACUUUGAGGAAAUUAGAGUGUUUCAAGCAGGCACACGCCUUGAAUACAUUAGCAUGGAAUAAUAAGAUAGGACCUCGGUUCUAUUUUGUUGGUUUCUAGAGCUGAGGUAAUGAUUAAUAGGGAUAGUUGGGGGCAUUCGUAUUUAACUGUCAGAGGUGAAAUUCUUGGAUUUGUUAAAGGCGGACUACUGCGAAAGCAUUUGCCAAGGAUGUUUNCAUUG
rnacentral:rRNA from 1 species